GCGUUGUCCGGAAUUAUUGGGCGUAAAGAGCUCGUAGGCGGUCUGUCGCGUCUGCUGUGAAAACUCGGGGCUUAACCCCGGGCCUGCAGUGGGUACGGGCAGACUAGAGUGCGGUAGGGGAGACUGGAAUUCCUGGUGUAGCGGUGAAAUGCGCAGAUAUCAGGAGGAACACCGGUGGCGAAGGCGGGUCUCUGGGCCGUAACUGACGCUGAGGAGCGAAAGCGUGGGGAGCGAACAGG
rnacentral:rRNA from 1 species